rnacentral:rRNA from 1 species
GUGAACGCUGGCGGUAGGCCUAACACAUGCAAGUCGAACGGCAGCACAGUAAGAGCUUGCUCUUACGGGUGGCGAGUGGCGGACGGGAGAGGAAUACAUCGGAAUCUACUUUUUCGUGGGGGAUAACGUAGGGAAACUUACGCUAAUACCGCAUACGACCUACGGGUGAAAGCAGGGGAUCUUCGGACCUUGCGCGAUUGAAUGAGCCGAUGUCGGAUUAGCUAGUUGGCGGGGUAAAGGCCCACCAAGGCGACGAUCCGUAGCUGGUCUGAGAGGAUGAUCAGCCACACUGGAACUGAGACACGGUCCAGACUCCUACGGGAGGCAGCAGUGGGGAAUAUUGGACAAUGGGCGCAAGCCUGAUCCAGCCAUACCGCGUGGGUGAAGAAGGCCUUCGGGUUGUAAAGCCCUUUUGUUGGGAAAGAAAAGCAGCAGGUUAAUACCCCGCUGUUCUGACGGUACCCAAAGAAUAAGCACCGGAUAACUUCGUG